ACUACAACACCUGAAGAAUGUUGUUGCAGGCAGUCUGUGUCAAUAGUAUGGUUAUAAGACUCACACGAAAGUAUAAAAACAAGCUUGAUUUACGAGAUUCAUACAUGCAUUCAGUAUUUACAUUAUUUUGAGUACAAAACAUAUCUUUAUCAUUUAAGUACGAAGGAUACUAACGCCCUCCAAUCUUGGGAAUUUUUCAAACUAUAUGUGGCAAAUAUUGGAUUUUCUGNNNNNNNNNNNAGCUUUUGAAGGAACGCUAAAGGCGUUUAUUAUCAACAUUUUAAAUCAUCAUAUUAUAAUACUCUUUUGGAAACAUGUAUAACGCAACAAUGUACGUUUUAUUAUAUAUAUGAUGGUUGUGUUACUUUCUUUACGAUAUUCAAUUGUUAUGGUACUACUUGAAGUCAUCCACCCCUGAAUGUUUCCUCCAUUCUCGUUUGGGGGUGUGACUGAUUGGUAUCAGAGCAUUGUUUAUAGUGAACUAAGUAUAUCGAACCACAUAAGAUAUACAAACUAUAAAUGCAAAGGGGACCAAAAAACCUCUGACAAAACGUUUUCAAAAACAAUAUAUUUUCUUUUAAAAAUAUACAUUUUUACUCGCAUGCAUCGGUCUCGUAUCAUAACAAAGUUUUCUAAAAAGUGUUAAGGCAUGUUGCGACACUACGAUUGGGCCUCGAGGUAUGUAAUCAAAUCGAGAAUAAAUAUAGCCUGAUCAACUAUAUUUAUCCUGGAUUUGACCAACGUACGUCGAGGAAUGGUCGUAGUGGACAACAAGUCAAAAAAAAAUUACCAAAUAAAAUUUUUAGACUCGCAAGUUUGAAAUACAGGAGUAUUGUUAUAAAAUAAUAGGACAAUGAAAAACCUGCACACCAUAAGAUAUAGUUAAACUUAGGAUGCCGUUAAGUAGAAAUUUCUUUUCUUAUAAAAUUCUCAUGCCUCUAUCCUAGUACAGACAAAUGGCCGAAUUCCAUAUACCGGGAGAUCCCUACUACCCAAACCAAGGUAAUGGCAGAUAGAUAGAAGAAGAUCCGAAAGAAGACCCGGAGGAAAUCGAAGAGGAAGUCGAAGAAGAAUUCGAAGACGAAGAGGAAGUCGGAGAGGAAUUCGAAGUCGACGAGGAGGUCGAGGAGGAAGGAGAAGCUACUAAUGGAACAGACUCCGAGCCGGAAGUAAUCGACCCUCCCGCUCCCUGUCCUCCCGAAGUCAGAAUAGGUUACCAAGGUCCCAUUCCCAUUUGGAGAAGCCAUCUCUACCAUUGGAGCCGUCAACUAGGUGUACGCCUUCCCUUUGGCAUGUGUCGAGAGUUUUACAAUGUCAGUGAGGGAGGCUCAGCUGAUCGAGCACUUCCCGUUAUUGUGGGCACAAUAGCCACCCAGAACUACCAGUCAGACAUGCAAGCGGCCAAAAUUCGUGAGAUCAAUGCUGCUACACAGCGUAACGCCGCAGACAUCCGUUGUUUGGACGGACUACACGAAGGUACCCAACUCCACACAAGGACGCUUCAAAGCCAAAUGGAGACAACACUUGCAGAAAUAAGAGAGAUGAAAGAACAACAAGCGGUUCUCGAGAGGCGCUUAAUGGGAGUUAAGAAAUCGGAUGCCGAGUCUAGCUCCAAACGCACGACGCGCCGCAAGUAGGACUUGCCCAACUCCAACAAUUUUGAUAUAGAAUAGGACCUCGGAUAAAGUUUUUCUUAUUUUCUUUGAACUUGUAAUCGGAGACUUGUAGAUAGGUCAAAGUUUUCCUAAACACAAAGCAUAAUUUAACGCACCGUAUGUGUGACAUAUAUAUGAAGUACUCCUUUACAUACCUCUCGAAACUUAUAGGAUUAUCUAAAUUUCUAUAUCUACUUUCAAACCAUUUGCUAAAGUCAAAACAAAUUACAAGAUACAACUAACCCUCUAGUGCAUGAUUGUAAAAUCAUUAGAAACUUAUAGUCUUCAUUAUUAUUUCUAUAUCAGAACAUGCCUCCUCGUAGAUCAUCAUGCAAAAACUCAGCUCCAACACCACCUCCACCACCCCCUCCAACUAUGGAUGCAGCUAUGUUCCAAACUGCUAUAAUAGCCGCUGUAACCGCAGCAAUGGCACAAAUGAGUAACAACGGGUCAGGAGGAGGAAUAAACAGCUUUACAAAUGGCCAAAGCCAAGGCCGUUCCGGAGUAUGUAAUUACAAAGACUUCACCAACGGCAAAGCUAUUCCCUUUUAUGGGACUGGUGGAGUGAUGGAUCUAUCCCAAUGGAUAGAGAAAACGGAAGUUGUAUUCGAAAUUUGCGCAUGCCCUGAAGAAAGCAAAGUAAAAUUUGCCGCCUUUACUUUCUCCGAACGAGCCCUGACGUGGUGGAACGGCCACGUCAAGACACUAACCCUAGUGGUGGCGAACUCCAUGGGUUGGGAAAACCUUAAACGAAUGCUCCUACGAGAGUACUACCCAAUAGGCGAGAUUUAGAAGCUCGAACAGGAACUGUGGGGCCUUACGAUGGUAGGCUCGGACAUCGCAGGCUAUACCAACAGAUUUAGUGACUUGAUAAUACUUUGCCCAGGAAUGUUGAUCCUGGAAAUCCAAAAGGUGGAAAGGUACAUUUGGGGACUAUCACCCCAACUUCGAGGGAGUGUGUUAGCCUCCAAACCCAUGACAUUCGACAGCGCCAAGGAACUGGCGCAAUCUCUCGUUGAUCAUGGUGUCUGUCAAGGCGUCACGGCUAUCGUCGUUGAACCAACCAAAGGGAACCACAACAAUGAUAACAAUGCCAACAACAACAGUAAGAAGAAGUUCUGGAACAAGAGAAAGGGGCAAACGUCGCAAGAAUCUUCAAAGAAACAAAUGGUGGCGGUUCAUGCCGCUACUACUCCCACUACAACUCCUGCUACCCCUGCGCCAACGAAACAAUAUGCUGGGAACCCGCCAAAGUGCAGAAAAUGCAACUACCAUCACCACGGUAAUUGCCGCGAGAUGCACUGUAAAAACUGCGACAAGAAAGGGCACACUACCAUUUCUGUAAGGCACCGGCGCGACCAAUCACUCAAGUUCCUGGUACAGGAUUAAGCCAGGCAUGUUAUGGGUGUGGAGACACUGGGCACUUCAAGAGGGAUUGCCCCAAGGCAAAGAAUGCUGGCGGUGUUGGGAGAGUGUUGGCGAUAGGACAAAAUGAAGCAAUAGCUGACCCCACGGUGGUUACGGGUACGUUUCUCCUCGACAACAUUUAUGCAUGCAUACUCUUUGACUGCGGUGCGGAGAGAAGUUUUGUGAGUCAUAAAUUCAAACACCUACUUAAUCAAAAACCCCAACCACUCAAUAAAAUAUUCACUGUAGAAAUGGCAAACGGUAAAACGGAAAGCGCAAGCGAUAUGUACGUAGGGUGCACAUUAAAUUUAAACGAACACUUAUUUCAAAUCGAUCUUAUGCCCAUUUCGAUAAGAAGUUUUGAUGUAAUCAUCGGUAUGGACUGGUUGAGACUUCACCAUGUCGAUAUUCUUUGUCACGAAAAGGCCGUUCGUCUUAAUCUACCCAACGGCGAAACCCUUGUCAUAUAUGGAGACAAACCUAGUUCAAAUUUACAAAUCAUCUCCUGUGUUAAAGCACAAAAAUAUCUUCGGAAAGAAUACCAUGCCUUUCUAGCCCACGUAGUAGACCAGAAACAAGAACCAAAGAACAUUAACGACAUUCCGGAAGUCUGCAACUUCCCAGACAUCUUCCCAGAAGAUCUUCCAGGGAUCCCACCAGCGCGCCAAGUCGAGUUCAGAAUCGACUUAAUUCCCGGAGCUACUCCAGUAGCAAAGUCGCCUUACCGUCUAGCCCCAGCCGAGAUGCAGGAACUAUCCAGUCAAUUGAACGAGCUGUUGAGCAAAGGAUUCAUUAGACCGAGCUUCUCACCAUGGGGAGCACCGGUCCUAUUUGUGAAGAAGAAGGACAGAUCUUUUCGCAUGUGCAUCGAUAACCGGUAGCUGAACAAACUCACAAUCAAGAACCGAUAUCCCCUACCGCGCAUAGACGAUUUGUUCGACCAACUACAAGGAGCAAGCUACUUCUCAAAAAUCGAUCUAAGAUCUGGUUAUCACCAACUACGAGUGCUAGAAGGAGACAUCCCCAAAACGGCAUUCUGAACAUGCGCUGGUCACUACGAGUUUGUAGUGAUGCUCUUUGGGUUGACAAAUGCGCCAGCAGUGUUCAUGGACUUGAUGAACCGGGUAUGUCGUCCCUUCCUGGAUAAAUUUGUGAUCGUGUUCAUAGAUGAUAUACUCAUCUAUUCAAGAAGCAAGGAAGAACCCAACCAACACCUCUGCAAAGUCUUUGAAACAUUGAGGGCAGGAAAACUAUACACAAAAUUUUCAAAGUGUGAGUUUUGGAUUCGGGAAGUAGAUUUCCUAGGUCACCUAGUAAGCAAAGAGGGGAUACACGUGGAUCCUUCAAAGAUCAAGGCAAUAGAGAAUUGGACGAUCCCAAGAACCCCAACAGAAAUCCGGCAAUUUUUGGGACUCGUCGGAUAUUACCGAAGGUUCAUACAAAACUUUUCGAAGAUUGCUAAGCCACUUACUAUCCUAACUCAGAGGAGCGUGACCUUCAACUGGGGAGAAAAACAAGACAUCGCGUUUCAAACACUAAAGCGAGCCUUAUGUAGUGCGCCCAUUCUAACCUUACCAGAAGGAACGGAGGACUUCGUGGCCUAUUGUGAUGCGUCAAACCAAGGACUUGGUUGUGUCCUGAUGCAACGAGGGAAGGUCAUCGCCUAUGCCUCAAGACAACUAAAGACACACGAAGUAAACUACACGAUGCACGAUCUCGGGCUAGGAGCAGUUGUUUUCGCUCUAAAGAUAUGGAGGCACUAUCUCUAUGACACGAAAUGUACAAUCUUCACCGAUCAUAAAAGCCUCCAGCAUAUCCUCAACCAGAAAUACCCGAAUGGAAGUGGGAGCGGAUAACCAUGGAUUUCAUAACAAAAUUACCCAAGACGGCAAGCGGACUCAACACCAUCUGGGUGAUUAUCGAUAGGUUAACUAAAUCAGCGCACUUCCUACCAAUCAAAGAAACGGAUAAUUUGGAGAAACUAACUAGAACAUACCUCAGAGAGAUUGUACGGCUGCAUGGUGUGCCCAUAUCCAUUAUCUCGGACCGAGAUAGUAGAUUCACCUCAAGGUUCUGGCAGUCGCUGCAAAAAUCUCUAGGAACAAGACUAGACAUGAGUACUGCUUAUCACCCACAAAAUGACGGCCAGAGUGAGAGAACCAUACAAACCCUAGAGGAUAUGUUGAGAUCUUGCGUAAUCGAUUUUGGCGAAGCAUGGGACACCCAUCUACCCUUGGUCGAGUUCUCAUACAACAAUAACUACCACACUAGCAUCAAGGCUGCCUCGUUUGAAGCCCUCUACAGCCGUAAAUGCAUAUCACCUCUGUGCUGGGCUGAAGUAGGUGACACACAACUAGCAAAAGGACAAGCAACAGACAACACACUCACUGGGCCAGAAAUCAUAAGGGAAACUACGGAGAAGAUUGUUCAGAUCUGGGAACGACUGAAAGCAUCAAGGGACAGACAAAAGAGUUAUGCAGAUAAAAGACGGAAACCCUUGGAAUUCCAGGUUGGAGACCGUGUCCUACUAAAAGUCUCACCCUGGAAAGGGUUAAUACGUUUCGGAAAGCGUGGGAAACUGAACCCAAGAUACAUUGGACCAUUCGAGAUCCUCUCCAGGAUCGGUCCGGUGGCUUACAAACUUCGAUUACCUCAGGAACUCCACAACGUACACCCAACCUUUCACGUAUCAAACCUAAAGAAGUGCUUGUCCGAUGAGACCCUUGUCAUCCCUCUGGAAGAAAUUGCAAUAAAUGAGAAUCUCCAAUUCGUAAAAGAACCAGUAGAGAUCAUGGAUCGGGAAAUUAAAAGGACUAAACAAAGCCGCAUACCUAUUGUAAAGGUUCGCUGGAACGCCAAGCGAGGACCUGAAUACACCUGGGAACGCGAGGAUCAGAUGAAACAAAAGUACCCGUAUCUCUUUCCUAACCCGUAAACUCUAUCUUAGAUUUAAUUUCGGGACGAAAUUCCUCUAACGGGGGGAUGAUGUGAUAACCCUAUAUUUUUCCAAAAGCAAUGUAACACUCAAAAGUCAAAUACAACGAAACUAUUUGGAAUCAACGAAAUUAGCCUAAAAAAUAAAGUGUUCAAAUAUCUAAAUAGGGAUGCAUCAAAUGUUCGAUAUCGUGCCAAGAUUUCCAAAAACAUAAAGUACAGUCGAAACCGGGUUAUAAUGAAGAAUCUAUGACCACUCAAAUAUUUACGACACACCCGGUAAAACACUAUUUAACGUAAAAAGUGAAAUUCCAAUAAAAUGCAUUUUAGCCUUAGGUAUCUAAACAAAAGUUGUAGAGUUCGUUAAACUGUAAACGUACAUAAAAAGAUCGCCCAAAUUGGACCUCGUAUGAAGAAGUUACGAAUUUUCUAAGUUUCGUAACAGUAGUAGAGGGCUAAAAACUCGAAUUGAAGAUCGAGCGAUAUUUAGCUAACGCAACCUAAACGAAAGUUGAAGGUCUCCACAAUAGGAGUAAGAUGAUAAAAAGACAAACGAAAACCGACGUCGGAUAAAGAAACUAUGAAUUUUUAACGGACUUUAGCAGUCCCGGCCUAUUAAAAACAUAGCAUUAAAAAUAAAGUCAAAACUAGCCGACGGAGUCUAAAUNAAAAAGACAAACGAAAACAGACGUCGGAUAAAGAAGUUAUGAAUUUUUAACGGACUUUAGCAGUCUCGGCCUAUUAAAAACAUAGCAUUAAAAAAAAGUCAAAACUAGCCGACGGAGUCUAAAUGAAAGUUGUAGAGCAUAGUCUCACCUACGCGUGCAUAUAAAGAACGCGAAAAACGGAGCCUGUACGCGAAAGUUAUGGAAUUUAGAAGAUGGAAGCCAGAAUUACGUCCAGCGUAAUUCAAGAGUACGCCCAGCGUACUCAGGUGCAAGGUUGAGUCCCAUCGGCUGCAAGCUCUACGCCUAGCUAGACCCGAGUCGUAAGACAUGACGCAAAGUUACCCCCAGCAUAACCGAAGUACGCCCAGCGUAAUGCGUACGCCCAGCGUACUCCGGUGGUACGCCCAGCGUACUCGCGCCUUCAGCCCUAUAAAUAGAAGGCAUAAACUCCGUAUUUUGGAACACCUCUCUCAAAAUUUCACUCACUCUCACACACUCUUACAUACCAGAUACCAUCCCGACACCCUCGGUUCCGCACUCGAGCCCCGACGAAGGUUCUACGCUACCGAGAUCCCCAAGAAGCUCGAAGACGCAGCUUUUCCGCGGUUGAAGUUCUGCUCGACUCUAGUCCCACUCUCUUCAAACCAAACAGGUGAGUUCAUACCCCUACUUUUCAAGUCUUUUCAUGUUUUAGGGGGGAAAUACAAGUACAAUAUAAGAAAACGUAUCGUUUUAUAUAAAUAUAAAUGCUACAUCUAUCUUUUUAUAUUUCGAUACCAACAUCUUACUUUACGUAUAAAGCUUAGUAUAUCAUAAUAUCACCAAGUUAUCUUCACCAAAUGGAACACCCCUUUAGAAAAACUAUAAUGGGUAUAGUUUGCAAACUAUUCAUAUAUUCAUACGUAUACAUCUUGAAAAACGUAUUACUUUCAUCUAAAGUGAAAUAGAGUCUUUCUUAUCGUAAAUCUAUUUAUACUAAGCGAUGUGAGAUAUUCAACUUCAACAUACUUUUAAGUAUGCAUUUCAAGUCCGGUAUUAUAAGCCAAAAUCUCUUGGAAGGAGAACGUGAUACUUGUGUUUAGAUCUAUACGGGAUUGACAACCCCGCACCUAAACUGUUAGCUACAGUUAGACCGGCAAGUCUGGGGUGAAAAAUGUCAUAACACUACAACACCUGAAGAAUGUUGUUGCAGGCAGUCUGUGUCAAUAGUAUGGUUAUAAGACUCACACGAAAGUAUAAAAACAAGCUUGAUUUACGAGAUUCAUACAUGCAUUCAGUAUUUACAUUAUUUUGAGUACAAAACAUAUUUUUAUCAUUUAAGUACGAAGGAUACUAACGCCCUCCAAUCUUGGGAAUUUUUCAAACUAUAUGUGGCAAAUAUUGGAUUUUCUGCAAACCACGUUCAUCUAUUUUCUUCCAAAAAGACAUACUUUUUCAGUACAAAACACUUACGAACUCACCAACUUUAUUGUUGACACUUUUUCGAAACCACUUGUAUUUCUC
rnacentral:lncRNA from 1 species